rnacentral:rRNA from 1 species
AUGAACGCUAGCGACAGGCUUAACACAUGCAAGUCGAGGGGCAGCACAGGUAGCAAUACCGGGUGGCGACCGGCGCACGGGUGAGUAACGCGUAUGCAACUUACCUAUCAGAGGGGGAUAACCCGGCGAAAGUCGGACUAAUACCGCAUGAAGCAGGGGCCCCGCAUGGGGAUAUUUGCUAAAGAUUCAUCGCUGAUAGAUAGGCAUGCGUUCCAUUAGGCAGUUGGCGGGGUAACGGCCCACCAAACCGACGAUGGAUAGGGGUUCUGAGAGGAAGGUCCCCCACAUUGGUACUGAGACACGGACCAAACUCCUACGGGAGGCAGCAGUGAGGAAUAUUGGUCAAUGGGCGCGAGCCUGAACCAGCCAAGUCGCGUGAGGGAUGAAGGUUCUAUGGAUCGUAAACCUCUUUUAUAAGGGAAUAAAGUGCGGGACGUGUCCCGUUUUGUAUGUACCUUAUGAAUAAGGAUCGGCUAACUCCGUGCCAGCAGCCGCGGUAAUACGGAGGAUCCGAGCGUUAUCCGGAUUUAUUGGGUUUAAAGGGUGCGUAGGCGGCCUUUUAAGUCAGCGGUGAAAGUCUGUGGCUCAACCAUAGAAUUGCCGUUGAAACUGGGGGGCUUGAGUAUGUUUGAGGCAGGCGGAAUGCGUGGUGUAGCGGUGAAAUGCUUAGAUAUCACGCAGAACCCCGAUUGCGAAGGCAGCCUGCCAAGCCAUGACUGACGCUGAUGCACGAAAGCGUGGGGAUCAAACAGGAUUAGAUACCCUGGUAGUCCACGCAGUAAACGAUGAUCACUAGCUGUUUGCGAUACACUGUAAGCGGCACAGCGAAAGCGUUAAGUGAUCCACCUGGGGAGUACGCCGGCAACGGUGAAACUCAAAGGAAUUGACGGGGGCCCGCACAAGCGGAGGAACAUGUGGUUUAAUUCGAUGAUACGCGAGGAACCUUACCCGGGUUUGAACGCAUUCGGACCGAGGUGGAAACACCUUUUCUAGCAAUAGCCGUUUGCGAGGUGCUGCAUGGUUGUCGUCAGCUCGUGCCGUGAGGUGUCGGCUUAAGUGCCAUAACGAGCGCAACCCUUGCCACUAGUUACUAACAGGUAAAGCUGAGGACUCUGGUGGGACUGCCAGCGUAAGCUGCGAGGAAGGCGGGGAUGACGUCAAAUCAGCACGGCCCUUACAUCCGGGGCGACACACGUGUUACAAUGGCGUGGACAAAGGGAAGCCACCUGGCGACAGGGAGCGAAUCCCCAAACCACGUCUCAGUUCGGAUCGGAGUCUGCAACCCGACUCCGUGAAGCUGGAUUCGCUAGUAAUCGCGCAUCAGCCAUGGCGCGGUGAAUACGUUCCCGGGCCUUGUACACACCGCCCGUCAAGCCAUGGGAGCCGGGGGUACCUGAAGUCCGUAACCGCGAGGAUCGGCCUAGGGUAAAACUGGUGACUGGGGCU